UACGUAGGAGGCGAGCGUUGUCCGGAUUCACUGGGCGUAAAGGGCGCGUAGGCGGCGGCUUGAGUCCCUGCGUGAAGUCUCCCGGCUCAACCGGGAGGGUGCGCGGGAUACUGGGCGGCUUGAGGACAUCAGAGGAGAGCGGAAUCCCCGGUGUAGUGGUGAAAUGCGUAGAUAUCGGGGGGAACACCAGUGGCGAAGGCGGCUCUCUGGGGUGCACCUGACGCUGAUGCGCGAAAGCGUGGGGAGCGAACCGG
rnacentral:rRNA from 1 species